GGAAAAGAAACCAACAGGGAUUACCUCAGUAACGGCGAGUGAAGCGGUAAAAGCUCAAAUUUGAAAUCUGGCUCUUUCAGAGUCCGAGUUGUAAUUUGUAGAAGAUGCUUCGGGUGUGGUUCCGGUCUAAGUUCCUUGGAACAGGACGUCAUAGAGGGUGAGAAUCCCGUAUGUGACUGGAUACCUACGCUCAUGUGAAGCUCUUUCGACGAGUCGAGUUGUUUGGGAAUGCAGCUCAAAAUGGGUGGUAUAUUUCAUCUAAAGCUAAAUAUUGGCCAGAGACCGAUAGCGCACAAGUAGAGUGAUCGAAAGAUGAAAAGCACUUUGGAAAGAGAGUUAAACAGUACGUGAAAUUGUUGAAAGGGAAGCGCUUGCAACCAGACUUGCACUUGGUGUUCAUCAGGACUUUGUGUCCUGUGUACUUCAUCAAGUUCAGGCCAGCAUCAGUUUGAGUGGUUAGAUAAAGGCUUAGAGAAUGUGGCCCUUCUCGGAGGGUGUUAUAGCUCUAGGUGCAAUGUAGCCUACUCGGACUGAGGACCGCGCUUCGGC
rnacentral:rRNA from 1 species